AUUGAACGCUAGCGGCAUGCCUAACACAUGCAAGUCGAACGGAGCGGCGAACGGGUGAGUAAUGCCUAGGAAUCUGCCCGGUAGUGGGGGAUAACGACCGGAAACGGGCGCUAAUACCGCAUACUAUCGGAUGAGCCGCGGUCGUCUUAGCUAGUUGGUGGGGUAAAGGCCUACCAAGGCGACGAUCCGUAACUGGUUUGAGAGGAUGAUCAGCCACACUGGAACUGAGACACGGUCCAGACUCCUACGGGAGGCAGCAGUGGGGAAUUUUGGACAAUGGGCGAAAGCCUGAUCCAGCCAUGCCGCGUGUGUGAAGAAGGCCUUCGGAUUGUAAAGCACUUUUGGCUGGGAGGCGUUACCAGCAGAAUAAGCACCGGCUAACUACGUGCCAGCAGCCGCGGUAAUAC
rnacentral:rRNA from 1 species